rnacentral:rRNA from 1 species
UAAAGCCCUUUCAGUGGGAACGAUGAUGACGGUACCCACAGAAGAAGCUCCGGCUAACUCCGUGCCAGCAGCCGCGGUAAUACGGAGGGGGCAAGCGUUGUUCGGAAUUACUGGGCGUAAAGGGCGCGUAGGCUGUUGUGCAAGUCAGGAGUGAAAGCCUCGGGCUCAACCCGGGAACUGCUCCUGAAACUGCAUGACUGGAGUACGGCAGAGGAUGGUGGAAUUCCCCGUGUAGAGGUGAAAUUCGUAGAUAUGGGGAGGAAGACC